rnacentral:rRNA from 1 species
GCUUAACACAUGCAAGUCGAGCGAGAAUCGUUUUGCUGAAGGCUUCGGUCUGACGCAGAAUGAGGAAAGCGGCUAACGGGUGAGUAACGCGUGGGCAACCUGGCCUUAAGAAAAGGAUAGCCCCCGGAGACGGGGAGUAAUACUUUAUGAGAAUAGAAAAGGGCAUCCUAUUUCUAUUCAAAGCGCAAGAGCUUAAUGAUGGGCCCGCGUAUCAUUAGCUAGUUGGUGAGAUAACAGCCCACCAAGGCAACGAUGAUUAGCCGGUCUGAGAGGGCGAACGGCCACAUUGGAACUGAGAGACGGUCCAAACUCCUACGGGAGGCAGCAGUGGGGAAUAUUGCGCAAUGGAGAAGAACUCUGACGCAGCAAUACCGCGUGAGCGAAGAAGGUCUUCGGAUCGUAAAGCUCUGUUAUCAGGGAAGAAGAAAAUGACGGUACCUGAUGAGCAAGUCCCGGCUAACUACGUGCCAGCAGCCGCCGUAA